rnacentral:misc_RNA from 1 species
AAUAUUUUGAUAAAAAGGCGAAGGUCAUGUUUUUGUGUGUUUUGGGAGGGGAUAAAUAUGCAUCUUCGAAGGUGAAUUGCACCAUUUCCAGAGGGACUGUUGGAAAGUUGCACGAUGUUCCGUUGCCUUGUUCUCGCAUUGGUUGUCGCCGUUGCAACGGCACAGGAGCCGGCUAAUUGCAGAUGCGGCGCCUUCAUCACUCUUGACACUAUCGAAAAGAUGCUGUACGAACUUCCUCCCAUCGACGUUGGCAGCUGUGACCAGCAUAACAAGUGCCAAAACCGCUGCUUCAAGGAGUUCGAGGCACUGUCUGGAGGAGGUGACUUGGAUUUCAUCACCUCCGACGGCAAGACACCCGUAGGACAGGUCUUGUGCACGGCAACCGGGAAACCAGUCAAUAACGAAUACGUGUACGCCUAUUCGGAGCUCUGCGACGGACCCUGGGAAUGGACAGGUGACCAGACCAAGCAGCCUCUGUGUUGCAACAGGGACGACGAGUACCACCCUUGCUCAUAGUAACGCCCCACGGAGACUGGCACAAGGAGAGGCCGAGAGACGAACCAUUGUCCAAAGGGCCUGACUCGAAGUACUGGCUCGAUGGCUGGGUUUUGUCACUCAAUGGCCUCUGGUGGAUCGGUAGUUACCUGAGUUUCUUGUAAUUUCAUUUCUUUUUUUUUUCUUUUCUUUUGAACUUUCUUUAACAUCGAAAUGAUGGUACGUUUUGGUGGGAAUAAAUUGAGAAGCAAU